CAGAAGAAAGCAUUAUAAUGAUGCAUUUCAUUUACAUGGAAAUGAUGAAAAAUUUUCUCUUUUGA
rnacentral:tRNA from 1 species